CUGACGGUUCACGCCGCGUGAGUGAGAAGGUUUCGGAUCGUAAAACUCUGUUGUUAGGGAAGAACAAGUGCCGUUCGAAUAGGGCGGCGCCUUGACGGUACCUAACCAGAAAGCCACGGCUAACUACGUGCCAGCAGCCGCGGUAAUACGUAGGUGGCAAGCGUUGUCCGGAAUUAUUGGGCGUAAAGCGCGCGCAGGUGGUUUCUUAAGUCUGAUGUGAAAGCCCACGGCUCAACCGUGGAGGGUCAUUGGAAACUGGGGAACUUGAGUGCAGAAGAGGAAAGUGGAAUUCCAAGUGUAGCGGUGAAAUGCGUAGAUAUUUGGAGGAACACCAGUGGCGAAGGCGACUUUCUGGUCUGUAACUGACACUGAGGCGCGAAAGCGUGGGGAGCAAACAGGAUUAGAUACCCUGGCAGUCCACGCCGUAAACGAUGAGUGCUAAGUGUUAGAGGGUUUCCGCCCUUUAGUGCUGCAGCUAACGCAUUAAGCACUCCGCCUGGGGAGUACGGUCGCAAGACUGAAACUCAAAGGAAUUGACGGGGGCCCGCACAAGCGGUGGAGCAUGUGGUUUAAUCCGAAGCAAGCGAAGAACUUACAGGUC
rnacentral:rRNA from 1 species